UACGGCCAUAGAACCUAGAAAACGCCGCAUCCCGUCUGAUCUGCGCAGCUAAGCUGGGUACCGCACGGUUAGUACCAAGGUGGGGGACCACUUGGGAAUCCCGGGUGCUGUAGUU
rnacentral:rRNA from 1 species